UGUACAAAUCAAUGUUUUGAAAAUAAUGAUCUCAGACUUUCUAAGUUAAAUUUUAAACAAUUUGAUUGUUUGCCAUAUUGGGUGGAUUUACUCUUAGAAUCGCAUGCUGUAGAAAUGCUCUAAAGUGCAUAUAGGACUCAGUCCUUAGAUGUUCUUUUUAUUUUAAGAAAUAACCUCUUCAAGUUGGUAACCGUGGCGGCUUUGUCCAUUACUGUUGCUAUUCUGCACACAUAUCGGAAGCAGCAAGCGCUUUACACACUCGAGUAGUGGGAUAAGUCACUGUUUUCUUUACUUUACAAGAUGAUAGUCCUGUUGGGAAUGACUGCUGCUGGCUUCAGGAAGGGAGGGAAGCUGCUCCGCUGCCUCUUUGCCACUUCCUGGAAGCAGCCUCCAUGGAACAGCCUUUGCAUCUGAGGCAACCAUUUUUACACCGUGCAGAUCUUCGUGGUUAUCAUCUCAAAGCCAUGUUCAGCAGCAGCGUUUGGACAGCAGUGUUCUGUGGGCCCUCCCAUCCCCCUAUAUCCUGCACCCCUCAUAGCAGUAGUGGCUUCGCCAUUCUGUUUUCUGCAGCGUCCUGUACAAAACUGUGCUGUGACUGUGCGGUAGGCCUGGACAUGGCAAAGAGAAUACAGCGAAGCCCCUUCUCUUCCUACCAAACGACUCUGUAGAGCUCUCUGCACCCUGUACCCUUUUCACCUUUUGUAUUUAAUUUUAAAGUCAGUGUACUGCAAGGAGGCUGGAUGCAAGAUAGAUACUAUAUUAAACUGUACUGUUAUUUAAGAUGUAAUAAAGCAGUUUGACAUGAAAAAAAAAAGAUGACUGAAGACAUUAUAAGGUCAUUCUAUUUUAAUGUUCCCUUCUACCUUCCACUUAGUCAUAGCAGAACAAUUACUACAACAUCCUGCU
rnacentral:lncRNA from 1 species